CGCCUGUUAACAAAAACAUGUCCUUUUGAAUAUAUUUAAGGUCUAACCUGCCCAAUGAGGAUUUAAAUGGCCGCAGUAUUUUGACUGUGCAAAGGUAGCAUAAUUAUUAGUUUUUUAAUUGAAAGCUUGUAUGAAGGGUUGGACGAGAUAAAAUCUGUCUUUAUUUAAAUUAUAAUAGAAUUUAACUUUUAAGUCAAAAGGCUUAAAUUUUUAUAAAAGACGAGAAGACCCUAUAGAUCUUUAUUUAGUUAAUAUUUUGAUAAUUUAGGAUUAUUUUAGUUUAAAGUUUUAACUAAAUUUUAUUGGGGUAAUAUAAAGAUUAAAAAAAUUCUUUUUAUUUAUUACAUUGAUUUAUGAAUAUAUGAUCCAGUAUUAUUGAUUAUAAGAUUAAGUUACCUUAGGGAUAACAGCGUAAUUUUUUUGGAGAGCUCAUAUCGAUAAAAAAGUUUGCGA
rnacentral:rRNA from 1 species